GAUGAACGCUAGCGGCAGGCCUAACACAUGCAAGUCGAGGGGCAGCACAGGAAAGUAGUAAUACUUUUGGGUGGCGACCGGCGGACGGGUGCGUAACGCGUAUACAACCUGCCUUCUACUGGGGGAUAAUUCGGAGAAAUCUGGUCUAAUACCCCAUAACAACCGAUGAGGCAUCUCAUUGGUUUAAAAGCUCCGGCGGUAGGAGAUGGGUAUGCGUGACAUUAGAUAGUUGGUGGGGUAACGGCUUACCAAGUCGACGAUGUCUAGGGGGACUGAGAAGUUAACCCCCCACACGGGUACUGAGACACGGACCAGACUCCUACGGGAGGCAGCAGUGAGGAAUAUUGGUCAAUGGACGCAAGUCUGAACCAGCCAUGCCGCGUGCAGGAAGACGGCUCUAUGAGUUGUAACCUGCUUUUGUACGAGGGUAAACCCAGGGACGUGUCUUUGGUUGAAAGUCCCGUACGAAUAAGUAUCGGCUAACUCCGUGCCAGCAGCCGCGGUAA
rnacentral:rRNA from 1 species